rfam:Paenibacillus pectinilyticus strain KCTC13222 scaffold5, whole genome shotgun sequence.
AUGAGGAUACAGGGAGAGACUGCCGAGCACGUUGGCAGCGCCGAAGGAGUAAGCCCACAGUGGUGAAUCUCUCAGGCAAAAGGACCUGUAUCGGACG